rnacentral:misc_RNA from 1 species
AAAGUCGUAACAAGGUUUCCGUAGGUGAACCUGCGGAAGGAUCAUUAUAUAAAAUCACUUUUUAUAUACCUUCAAAUCCUGUUGAUAAUAUUUUUUAUUUCAAUUGAAAUAGAAAUGAGUAACCAAAAAUAACUUUUAACAAUGGAUCUCUUGGCUCUC